rnacentral:rRNA from 1 species
UUGCACGCUGGCGGCAGGCCUAACACAUGCAAGUCGAGCGGAUGAAGGGAGCUUGCUCCUGGAUUCAGCGGCGGACGGGUGAGUAAUGCCUAGGAAUCUGCCUGGUAGUGGGGGAUAACGUCCGGAAACGGGCGCUAAUACCGCAUACGUCCUGAGGGAGAAAGUGGGGGAUCUUCGGACCUCACGCUAUCAGAUGAGCCUAGGUCGGAUUAGCUAGUUGGUGGGGUAAAGGCCUACCAAGGCGACGAUCCGUAACUGGUCUGAGAGGAUGAUCAGUCACACUGGAACUGAGACACGGUCCAGACUCCUACGGGAGGCAGCAGUGGGGAAUAUUGGACAAUGGGCGAAAGCCUGAUCCAGCCAUGCCGCGUGUGUGAAGAAGGUCUUCGGAUUGCAAAGCACUUUAAGUUGGGAGGAAGGGCAGUAAGUUAAUACCUUGCUGUUUUGACGUUACCAACAGAAUAAGCACCGGCUAACUUCGUG